rnacentral:rRNA from 1 species
GACGAACGCUGGCGGCGUGCCUAAUACAUGCAAGUCGAACGCUUCUUUCCUCCCGAGUGCUUGCACUCAAUUGGAAAGAGGAGUGGUGGACGGGUGAGUAACACGUGGGUAACCUACCCAUCAGAGGGGAAUAACACUUGGAAACAGGUGCUAAUACCGCAUAACAGUUUAUGCCGCAUGGCAUAAGAGUGAAAGGCGCUUUCGGGUGUCGCUGAUGGAUGGACCCGCGGUGCAUUAGCUAGUUGGUGAGGUAACGGCUCACCAAGGCCACGAUGCAUAGCCGACCUGAGAGGGUGAUCGGCCACACUGGGACUGAGACACGGCCCAGACUCCUACGGGAGGCAGCAGUAGGGAAUCUUCGGCAAUGGACGAAAGUCUGACCGAGCAACGCCGCGUGAGUGAGAAGGUUUUCGGAUCGUAAAACUCUGUUGUUAGAGAAGAACAAGGACGUUAGUAACUGAACGUCCCCUGACGGUAUCUAACCAGAAAGCCACGGCUAACUACGUG